UAACAAUAGGACAUUUUGAACAUUCCUAUUGGUUGACUUGAGAAAAAUACGAUACGCACGUGACCAUGAAAGACCACAUUUUUGCAUAAACCUGAACAACAUAGAUAAUGAGGUUUAUUGUGAUUUUAUUGUAAUGCUAACGAGUUUCCAAACCAUCUCCUCUAUUAACUAUGAUUUAACUCGCAGAAUCUAUAUAUAAGCUCAUACUCACUUAUACUAUACAACAUUUUUUGCAAUUUCGACCGAACGUUAAAUAUUAUCAAUGAUAAAUAAAUAUAAUGAUUAUAAUAUUUUUGAAGGAUGAAACGUAGAUCCACCAACAAUGAAUGGAUCCAAUUCAUUAUUGUGAUGCACGUCCAAGCGAUUAGCGCGUUUUAGGCAAGCAAUGAGCUUUCAUAUUAUAAACCAUUUUAACAGUCGUAAAUAAAUUGGUUAACAUUACCGAAAAACGACGUUUCAAAUAAUAUCUUAUUACAAAGGGCCAGAAUGUACUUAAAAGCUCGGAAAGCUUUAUUGUCUGAGGUUCAGUUUUCCAAUUUUAUAACUGUAGAUAACUAGUCUUAGCAAACACUGUAUGCAGGAGCGUAGGAAGAAUCAAAAGAUUGGGGGGGGGGGCACUAGGGGUAAUGAAAAGAGCACCUAAAAAAUAUUCCCCGGAAAUGUAGACCACGGGGGGGAGAAAAAUUUUCUCGUCAUACUAUACCGAAAUUGCACCGUUUUUGACCAUUUUUUUGAAACAUCGAAAUUUCCAAACAAAAAGGGCACCUUUGAUGUUGAUUUAGUAUUUACAGCAAAAUUAGCUUGUACAAAAAGGGCUCUUUUUAUCACAAAAAGGCAGUUUUGGUCCUUUGAAAAAUGUGUGUGGGGGAGAGGGAGCACGUGCCCCCUGUGCCCGGCAGGUUCCUACGCCUCUGACUGCAUGUGUUUAUUGUAAUAUAUUUCACUGCACAUUAUAAUAUUGAUAAUAAUUAUAUGACAACAUGCACACAUGUGAAACUCACAUAAUAUCUUCGCAAUAGGCAGCAAGCAAGCUUCAGCAAGCUUAUCAACUACAGGAUGAUAUGUGAAAACAAUGCAAUUUAAAAAUUGUCGACUAAACUGAAAAUUCAGCCAAAUGUUCGACAACUUUGUAAUUAUAGUAUAUGGGCAGAUUGGGUAUCUCUAUCACAAAAUUAUUGUGGGAACUGUAAAUUUCCAAAGUGCAGCAUAGCUUUUCUAUUACCAUUUUGGAAGUAGCUUGCGCACAACAGUAGUAGAUUUGAAACGCAAUGUGAAUCAAUAGUGUCUCAAUAAAUUAUAGAAGUUCUUUUAUCAAUCAAUUAUUUACAUUAAACUCAACUCGGAAUCUCUCAAAAUUGGACUUUUGUGCCACUUCUGCACGCAUAAUUUUUAAACUUUUUGUGAAGAGUAUAUAAGAAAUCAAUCAUCAUGCAUAAAAUCAGUUGUGGGUGUGAUAAAUUGUCCGCGAAAGGCCAGUAUGGCAAAAAAGCCCAAGCUUCGAGGUGCGCAUAGGACUUAAUGCACAUGCAUCAAAAUUAAUUAUCUGGUUAUUUAUAUUUAUUUAUUAAUAGUUCAAAUUUUGCGUUUAGUUUAGUGGUCACUCUACUACUGCGCCCAUUUCUCAUACAGCCUGUAGUGGUAAAAAUAUCGGGGGCAACAACAAGAGCAACAGCCAUGCCUACUAAUUAUUUUAUAAGUGUUUUCAGGAUGUUGCAUGUGGAGGUUAAUUCAUUAUAUGGCACACAUUGGCUUGUGGGACUUGUGCCAACGACCAUUUGUGACCGAAGAUAGAUAAAUUUGAAAGAUAAAUUAGCCAUGAUAUUGUGAGAAUCCUGAUCAGAUGAUACAUGAACUGUACUUAAAUGGUUACAUAAUUGUUGUAAUUAAUGCACAAUGUAAUGGACCAUAAAUAAAUAAAUAUUAAUUUAUAAAUUAAAAUAUUUAGUGUCAUCCACAUUAAUAGUGGAUGUCUGAAUGGAAUCUAAUUCAGAACAGUGAAGUGCAUUCUUGGAGAAAAUGGCGGAAGAGCAGUUUGUGUUUGUCGAAUAUGUAUAAUUAUAGGCUGCCGGUGUAGGAAUAAACACUGGAUCGAAGCUUCCAAAUUUGUCAUAAUUAAGGGAUCAAUAACUUCAAUAGAUCAUUUUGGAAAACAGAAACACCUCCUGCGCACAGGAAAUUAUUACGCCCUAUUGGUUGUCUUAGUAUACAUUCACUAUUAUCAGAAAUUUGCUACUGUCUCUCGCACUAU